GUAGAUGCUGGAACGAGGACAGUUCGCGUAAGUCGUUGAUUUACUUACCGGAACUGGUGGGUGCUGAGGGGUUCGAACCCCCGACCUACGCC
rnacentral:tRNA from 1 species